rnacentral:rRNA from 1 species
GACGAACGCUGGCGGCGUGCUUAACACAUGCAAGUCGAACGGUAAGGCCCUUCGGGGUACACGAGUGGCGAACGGGUGAGUAACACGUGGGUGAUCUGCCCUGCACUUCGGGAUAAGCCUGGGAAACUGGGUCUAAUACCGGAUAGGACCCUGGGAUGCAUGUCCUGGGGUGGAAAGCUUUUUGGGUGUGGGAUGGGCCCGCGGCCUAUCAGCUUGUUGGUGGGGUGAUGGCCUACCAAGGCGACGACGGGUAGCCGGCCUGAGAGGGUGACCGGCCACACUGGGACUGAGAUACGGCCCAGACUCCUACGGGAGGCAGCAGUGGGGAAUAUUGCACAAUGGGCGCAAGCCUGAUGCAGCGACGCCGCGUGAGGGAUGACGGCCUUCGGGUUGUAAACCUCUUUCAGCACCGACGAAGCGCAAGUGACGGUAGGUGCAGAAGAAGGACCGGCCAACUACGUGCCAGCAGCCGCCGCAG